AUUGAACGCUGGCGGCAGGCUUAACACAUGCAAGUCGAACGAGUGGCGGACGGGUGAGUAAUAUCUGGGAACCUGCCCAAUGGCGGGGGAUAACUACUGGAAACGGUAGCUAAUACCGCAUACCAUCGGAUCGGCCCAGAUGGGAUUAGCUAGUUGGUGGGGUAAAGGCUCACCAAGGCGACGAUCCCUAGUUGGUCUGAGAGGAUGACCAUCAACACGGGAACUGAGACACGGUCCAGACUCCUACGGGAGGCAGCAGUGGGGAAUAUUGCACAAUGGGCGCAAGCCUGAUGCAGCCAUGCCGCGGGUAUGAAGAAGGCCUUCGGGUUGUAAAGUACUUUCAGCGAGGAGGCGUUACUCGCAGAAGAAGCACCGGCUAACUCCGUGCCAGCAGCCGCGGUAAUGC
rnacentral:rRNA from 1 species